CGAGCAAUCUGCCCUUCACAUCGGAAUAACCAUUGGAAACGAUGGCUAAUACCGAAUAUGACUUCGGAUCGCAUGAUCUGAAGUGGAAAGCUCCGGCGGUGAAGGAUGAGCUCGCGGCCUAUCAGCUUGUUGGUGAGGUAACGGCUCACCAAGGCUUCGACAGGUAGCCGGCCUGAGAGGGUGACCGGCCACACUGGGACUGAGACACCGGCCCAGACCUCCG
rnacentral:rRNA from 1 species